rnacentral:rRNA from 1 species
CAAACUGGAGAUGGCGACCGGCGCACGGGUGAGUAACACGUAUCCAACCUGCCGAUAACUCGGGGAUAGCCUUUCGAAAGAAAGAUUAAUACCCGAUGGCAUGAUAGAACCGCAUGGUUUGAUUAUUAAAGAAUUUCGGUUAUCGAUGGGGAUGCGUUCCAUUAGGCAGUUGGUGGGGUAACGGCCCACCAAACCUUCGAUGGAUAGGGGUUCUGAGAGGAAGGUCCCCCACAUUGGAACUGAGACACGGUCCAAACUCCUACGGGAGGCAGCAUG